CUACCAGUGCUUCAAGUCCAAGAGCGUCACCAACCUGGCCGAGGCCACCGCCGACCCGGUCAUGGAGCUGGAGAUCCGGGUGCGCGAGCUGGAGGUGGAAGUCCAGCCCGAGCCUCCAGCGGAGCUCCCAGCAGAAGAAGAGCCGGCGCAGUGACCCGCUCGUACCGCGCUAGCGCUCCUAGCUAGCUUCUGUUGGCACUACGCCUGACGGAGUAUCACUCUUAUACCAUGUUGGAACACUCUUAUACCAACGAGUAUCACUCUUAUACCACGUUGUAACACUCUUAUAC